GGUUAAGUUAGAAAGGGCGCACGGUGGAUGCCUUGGCACUAGGAGCCGAUGAAGGACGGGACGAACACCGAUAUGCUUCGGGGAGCUGUAAGCAAGCUUUGAUCCGGAGAUUUCCGAAUGGGGAAACCCACCACUCGUAAUGGAGUGGUAUCCAUAUCUGAAUACAUAGGAUAUGAGAAGGCAGACCCGGGGAACUGAAACAUCUAAGUACCCGGAGGAAGAGAAAGCAAAUGCGAUUCCCUGAGUAGCGGCGAGCGAAACGGGACCAGCCCAAACCAAGAGGCUUGCCUCUUGGGGUUGUAGGACACUCUGUACGGAGUUAUAAAGGAACGAGGUAGAUGAAGAGGUCUGGAAAGGCCCGCCAUAGGAGGUAACAGCCCUGUAGUCAAAACUUCGUUCUCUCCUGAGUGGAUCCUGAGUACGGCGGAACACGUGAAAUUCCGUCGGAAUCCGGGAGGACCAUCUCCCAAGGCUAAAUACUCCCUAGUGACCGAUAGUGAACCAGUACCGUGAGGGAAAGGUGAAAAGCACCCCGGAAGGGGAGUGAAAGAGAUCCUGAAACCGUGCGCCUACAAGUAGUCAGAGCCCGUUAACGGGUGAUGGCGUGCCUUUUGUAGAAUGAACCGGCGAGUUACGAUCCCGUGCAAGGUUAAGCAGAAGAUGCGGAGCCGCAGCGAAAGCGAGUCUGAAUAGGGCGAAUUGAGUACGUGGUCGUAGACCCGAAACCAGGUGAUCUACCCAUGUCCAGGGUGAAGUUCAGGUAACACUGAAUGGAGGCCCGAACCCACGCACGUUGAAAAGUGCGGGGAUGAGGUGUGGGUAGGGGUGAAAUGCCAAUCGAACCUGGAGAUAGCUGGUUCUCUCCGAAAUAGCUUUAGGGCUAGCCUCAAGGUAAGAGUCUCGGAGGUAGAGCACUGAUUGGACUAGGGGCCCCUACCGGGUUACCGAAUUCAGUCAAACUCCGAAUGCCGAUGACUUAUCCUUGGGAGUCAGACUGCGAGUGAUAAGAUCCGUAGUCGAAAGGGAAACAGCCCAGACCGCCAGCUAAGGUCCCAAAGUAUACGUUAAGUGGAAAAGGAUGUGGAGUUGCUUAGACAACCAGGAUGUUGGCUUAGAAGCAGCCACCAUUUAAAGAGUGCGUAAUAGCUCACUGGUCGAGUGACUCUGCGCCGAAAAUGUACCGGGGCUAAACGUAUCACCGAAGCUGCGGACUGUUCUUCGAACAGUGGUAGGAGAGCGUUCUAAGGGCUGUGAAGCAAGACCGGAAGGACUUGUGGAGCGCUUAGAAGUGAGAAUGCCGGUAUGAGUAGCGAAAGAGGGGUGAGAAUCCCCUCCACCGAAUGCCUAAGGUUUCCUGAGGAAGGCUCGUCCGCUCAGGGUUAGUCGGGACCUAAGCCGAGGCCGAAAGGCGUAGGCGAUGGAUAACAGGUUGAUAUUCCUGUACCACCUCCUCACCAUUUGAGCAAUGGGGGGACGCAGGAGGAUAGGGUAAGCGCGGUAUUGGAUAUCCGCGUCCAAGCAGUUAGGCUGGGAAAUAGGCAAAUCCGUUUCCCGUGAAGGCUGAGCUGUGAUGGCGAGCGAAUUAUAGUAGCGAAGUUCCUGAUUCCACACUGCCAAGAAAAGCCUCUAGCGAGGUGAGAGGUGCCCGUACCGCAAACCGACACAGGUAGGCGAGGAGAGAAUCCUAAGGUGAUCGAGAGAACUCUCGUUAAGGAACUCGGCAAAAUGACCCCGUAACUUCGGGAGAAGGGGUGCUCUGUUAGGGUGCAAGCCCGAGAGAGCCGCAGUGAAUAGGCCCAGGCGACUGUUUAGCAAAAACACAGGUCUCUGCGAAGCCGUAAGGCGAAGUAUAGGGGCUGACGCCUGCCCGGUGCUGGAAGGUUAAGAGGAGCGCUUAGCGUAAGCGAAGGUGCGAAUUGAAGCCCCAGUAAACGGCGGCCGUAACUAUAACGGUCCUAAGGUAGCGAAAUUCCUUGUCGGGUAAGUUCCGACCCGCACGAAAGGCGCAACGAUCUGGGCACUGUCUCAACGAGAGACUCGGUGAAAUUAUAGUACCUGUGAAGAUGCAGGUUACCCGCGACAGGACGGAAAGACCCCGUGGAGCUUUACUGCAGCCUGAUAUUGAAUGUUGGUACAGCUUGUACAGGAUAGGUAGGAGCCUUGGAAACCGGAGCGCCAGCUUCGGUGGAGGCAUCGGUGGGAUACUACCCUGGCUGUAUUGACCUUCUAACCCGCCGCCCUUAUCGGGCGGGGAGACAGUGUCAGGUGGGCAGUUUGACUGGGGCGGUCGCCUCCUAAAAGGUAACGGAGGCGCCCAAAGGUUCCCUCAGAAUGGUUGGAAAUCAUUCGCAGAGUGUAAAGGCACAAGGGAGCUUGACUGCGAGACCUACAAGUCGAGCAGGGACGAAAGUCGGGCUUAGUGAUCCGGUGGUUCCGCAUGGAAGGGCCAUCGCUCAACGGAUAAAAGCUACCCCGGGGAUAACAGGCUUAUCUCCCCCAAGAGUCCACAUCGACGGGGAGGUUUGGCACCUCGAUGUCGGCUCAUCGCAUCCUGGGGCUGUAGUCGGUCCCAAGGGUUGGGCUGUUCGCCCAUUAAAGCGGUACGCGAGCUGGGUUCAGAACGUCGUGAGACAGUUCGGUCCCUAUCCGUCGCGGGCGCAGGAAAUUUGAGAGGAGCUGUCCUUAGUACGAGAGGACCGGGAUGGACGCACCGCUGGUGUACCAGUUGUUCUGCCAAGGGCAUCGCUGGGUAGCUAUGUGCGGACGGGAUAAGUGCUGAAAGCAUCUAAGCAUGAAGCCCCCCUCAAGAUGAGAUUUCCCAUUCCGCAAGGAAGUAAGAUCCCUGAAAGAUGAUCAGGUUGAUAGGUCUGAGGUGGAAGUGUGGCGACACAUGGAGCUGACAGAUACUAAUCGAUCGAGGACUUAACCUA
rnacentral:rRNA from 1 species